CGGGGGGGGCAAGCGUUGUUCGGAAUUACUGGGCGUAAAGGGCUCGUAGGCGGCCAACUAAGUCAGACGUGAUAUCCCUCGGCUUAACCGGGGAACUGCGUCUGAUACUGGAUGGCUUGAGAUUGGGAGAGGGAUGCGGAAUUCCAGGUAUAGCGGUGAAAUGCGUAGAUAUCUGGAGGAACACCGGUGGCGAAGGCGGCAUCCUGGACCAACACUGACGCUGAGGAGCGAAAGCCAGGGGAGCAAACGGGAUUAGAUACCCCGGUAGUCCUGGCCCUAAACGAUGAAUGCUUGGUGUGACGGGUAUCGAUCCCUGUCGUGCCGAAGCUAACGCAAUAAGCAUUCCGCCUGGGGAGUACGGUCGCAAGGCUG
rnacentral:rRNA from 1 species